CUGUGUGAAUUCGUGUGAAUCGCAGACUGCUUUGAACAUCGACAUCUUGAACGCACAUUGCGGCUACAGGCUUGCCUGUGGCCACGUCUGACCGAGGGUCGGCU
rnacentral:rRNA from 3 species